UAAACACUUUGCAUAUUGUCAUCGCUCUAGGAAACAUGUACAUUACUUUAUAUGAUAGCAAUAUUCUGAGAAUUUCUUAUGUUUGUAUGUACCUCCAAGGUAACACCACUUGGUGAAAUAGGCUUGAGACUUUAUAAUCAUUAAAUACAUUAAACCUUGCUGUUUAAUAUUUUCCUUUUUGAAGUCUUUUAGGAAUCUACAUAAUAUUAAGGUAAAAUUCUAGGUUUAAUACUGUGAUAACCUGAGUACACACACAAUUUUAAUAUUUUAUCCUUUGAAUUUAGGUACAAGUUAUGGAAGAUAAAUUAAAAGCAGCUAAUAUUCAAACCAGUGAAUCAGAGACAAGAUUAUAUAAUAAGUGUCAAGAUCUGGAGUCGCUAAUACAGGAAAAAGAUGACAUCAUUCAAAACUUGGAAUUGCAACUUGAAGAGCAGAAACAAAUAAGAAUACAAGAAGCUAAAAUAAUAGAAGAGAAAGCAGCUAAGAUAAAAGAAUGGGUAACAGUUAAGUUAAAUGAGCUGGAAUUGGAGAAUCAGAAUCUUCGUUUGAUCAACCAAAACCAAACUGAAGAGAUAAGAAC
rnacentral:sRNA from 1 species